rnacentral:rRNA from 1 species
CCUACGGGAGGCUGCAGUCGAGAAUCUUCCGCAAUGGGCGCAAGCCUGACGGAGCGACGCCGCGUGCGGGAUGAAGGCCCUCGGGUUGUAAACCGCUGUCAGAGGGGAUGAAAUCACAGAAGGCUAUCCUUCUGUGUUGACAGAGCCUCAGAGGAAGCGCGGGCUAAGUUCGUGCCAGCAGCCGCGGUAAUACGAACUGCGCGAACGUUACUCGGAAUCACUGGGCUUAAAGGGUGCGUAGGCGGCCCAAAAAGUCGGGUGUGAAAUCCCUCGGCUCAACCGAGGAAUGGCGCCCGAAACUGCUGGGCUUGAGUGCGAUAGGGGUGUGCGGAACUUCCAGUGGAGCGGUGAAAUGUGUUGAUAUUGGAAGGAACGCCGGUGGCGAAAGCGGCACACUGGGUCGUUUCUGACGCUGAGUGCACGAAAGCCAGGGGAGCG